rnacentral:rRNA from 1 species
AGGACGAACGCUGGCGGCGUGCUUAACACAUGCAAGUCGAACGGAAAGGCCCUGCUUUUGUGGGUGGGGGAUGUGCUCGCGGCCUAUCAGCUUGUUGGUGGGGUAAUGGCCUACCAAGGCUUCGACGGGUAGCCGGCCUGAGAGGGUGACCGGCCACACUGGGACUGAGACACGGCCCAGACUCCUACGGGAGGCAGCAGUGGGGAAUAUUGGACAAUGGGCGGAAGCCUGAUCCAGCAACGCCGCGUGAGGGAUGACGGCCUUCGGGUUGUAAACCUCUUUCAUCAUCGACGAAGCAGCGUGUUUAGCGUUGUGACGGUAGGUGGAGAAGAAGCACCGGCCAACUACGUGCCAGCAGCCGC